CACACUGUAAACGAUGAUUGCUAGGUGUGGGGGGUCUAACCCCUUCCGUGCCGGAGCUAACGCAAUAAGCAAUCCACCUGGGGAGUACGGCCGCAAGGUUGAAACUCAAAGGAAUUGACGGGGGCCCGCACAAGCAGUGGAUUAUGUGGUUUAAUUCGAAGCAACGCGAAGAACCUUACCAGGUCUUGACAUCCGACUAACGAGGCAGAGAUGCGUCAGGUGCCCUUCGGGGAAAGUCGAGACAGGUGG
rnacentral:rRNA from 1 species